rfam:Solanum tuberosum cultivar DM 1-3 516 R44 scf00173_26, whole genome shotgun sequence.
AAUGGCAAUUACAAUGGGAAGCAAGGCUGUAAGGCGGAGCGAAUCCGGAAAGAUUGCCUCAGUUCGGAUUGUUCUCUGCAACUCGGGAACAUGAAG